rnacentral:rRNA from 1 species
UAGCUAGUUGGUGAGGUAAAGGCUUACCAAGGCGACGAUCUGUAGCGGGUCUGAGAGGAUGAUCCGCCACACUGGAACUGAGACACGGUCCAGACUCCUACGGGAGGCAGCAGUGGGGAAUUUUGGACAAUGGGGGCAACCCUGAUCCAGCCAUGCCGCGUGAGUGAAGAAGGCCUUCGGGUUGUAAAGCUCUUUCGGCCGGGAAGAAAUCGCAUGGGCCAAUACCCUGUGUGGAUGACGGUACCGGAAUAAGAAGCACCGGCUAACUACGUGCCAGCAGCCGCGGUAAUACGUAGGGUGCGAGCGUUAAUCGGAAUUACUGGGCGUAAAGCGUGCGCAGGCGGUUUUGUAAGACAGGCGUGAAAUCCCCGGGCUUAACCUGGGAACUGCGUUUGUGACUGCAAGGCUAGAGUACGGCAGAGGGGGGUGGAAUUCCACGUGUAGCAGUGAAAUGCGUAGAGAUGUGGAGGAACACCAAUGGCGAAGGCAGCCCCCUGGGUCGAUACUGACGCUCAUGCACGAAAGCGUGGGUAGCAAACAGGAUUAGAUACCCUGGUAGUCCACGCCCUAAACUAUGUCAACUAGGUGUUGGGUGGGUAAAACCAUUUAGUACCGUAGCUAACGCGUGAAGUUGACCGCCUGGGGAGUACGGCCGCAAGGUUAAAACUCAAAGGAAUUGACGGGGACCCGCACAAGCGGUGGAUGAUGUGGAUUAAUUCGAUGCAACGCGAAAAACCUUACCUACCCUUGACAUGCCAGGAACUUGCCAGAGAUGGCUUGGUGCCCGAAAGGGAGCCUGGACACAGGUGCUGCAUGGCUGUCGUCAGCUCGUGUCGUGAUAUGUUGGGUUAAGUCCCGCAACGAGCGCAACCCUUGUCGUUAAUUGCCAUCAUUUAGUUGGGCACUUUAACGAGACUGCCGGUGACAAACCGGAGGAAGGUGGGGAUGACGUCAAGUCCUCAUGGCCCUUAUGGGUAGGGCUUCACACGUCAUACAAUGGUCGGUACAAAGGGUUGCCAAGCCGCGAGGCGGAGCCAAUCCCAGAAAGCCGAUCGUAGUCCGGAUUGCAGGCUGCAACUCGCCUGCAUGAAGUCGGAAUCGCUAGUAAUCGUGGAUCAGCAUGUCACGGUGAAUACGUUCCCGGGUCUUGUACACACCGCCCGUCACACCAUGGGAGCGGGUUCCGCCAGAAGUAGGUAGCCUAACCGCAAGGGGGGCGCUUACCACGGCGGGGUUCGUGACUGGGGUGAAGUCGUAACAAGGUAGCCGUGGGGGAACCUGCGGCUG